UACGGAGGAGGCAAGCGUUAUCCGGAAUGAUUGGGCGUAAAGCGUCCGCAGGUGGUUUUGUAAGUCUGCUGUUAAAGCGUUAGGCUCAACCUAAUAAGGGCAGUGGAAACUAUGAGACUAGAGUAUGUUAGGGGUAGAGGGAAUUCCCAGUGUAGCGGUGAAAUGCGUAGAGAUUGGGAAGAACACCGGUGGCGAAAGCGCUCUACUGGACCGCAACUGACACUCAGGGACGAAAGCUAGGGGAGCGAAUGGG
rnacentral:rRNA from 1 species